GAGAAGGGUAUUCCUGCACAACUGGAGGCUGCAGUUUCAGGACCGCAGUUCUAGGACCCUAGUUUUUUUGUGACAGCGCCACCUACCGUACUGGAUCAACACUAAUUAAAGAUGGACGACGUGGACAGCAAUCAGACGAUGCAUAUAACAAUCCAAAAAGGGAGAUCCCUGCCCGAAUUGAAGAGAUGCACCACAUGCUGCAAGGACUUUCACUGCCCGUUCUGUAGUUCAGCUUUGUUCCACCCAUCAAAGUUGAGCAAGAUCAGAACCCAUUUAGAGAGCCAUUUCAAUCGUGCAGUUAUCCAUGAAGGGUAUACCAUUCACAGAUGUGGGUUACAUUGCCGACCACAGUUGCAUUACCACUGUAUCCACUGCCAGUCAAUGCUGUUACGUAAAUCUGUGAGGAACAGCAGGACAUCUUGUUUUCUUAUCUGAGAGGAGUGCUGGAUAGAACACCAACAGAAUUGAGCUUCACAGAUGAAGUGCAGUUCAUCUGUGAUGUUCUUUUUCCGGAGGCCAUCAUAUAUGCCCUGGCUGCCCUCCGGAAUUUGUCCUUGCAGGAGGCUGAGCAGGUCUUCCUUUCUGGUCCAGAUUAUCAUUUCAGUGAAGUGGAAGAAUUUAAUAGAAAGAUUGACAAACAAUUGAGGAAAGAAGGGAGAUCAUUCAAUUGAGUUGAAGCCUACAGCCAUUCUAUCCAUGCAGCAACUAAUGGAAAAGGGGUUCGCUUUGGUGCUGUUGCUGCAAAAAU
ensembl:lncRNA